CAAACAUGUCCAAAAAUAUAUAUGACCAGGGCUAAUCCAAAGAAAUAAAGCAGCAAGAAUGAAGAAGCUGAAAUCCUGUCUAGAAGAAGAGAGACUUCAUAGAGGUUUAAUUUUGUCAGCUGGUAUACCUGGGGGAAAACAUCAUAAUGAUGUGGUUAGACAUCUGACCUUGAAGCUACACAUCCUUCACUCAAAUCCAGUUCCAC
rnacentral:lncRNA from 1 species